UGCUGGUCCUCUCGCAAUGAUACAUCGUGAACCUGGUCAGGCCCGGAAGGGAGCAGCCACAGCGAUCGACUCAUGUGCCGGGAUGUGGCUGGUGGAG
rnacentral:SRP_RNA from 1 species